CUACGGGCGGCUGCAGUGGGGAAUAUUGCACAAUGGAGGAAACUCUGAUGCAGCAACGCCGCGUGGAGGAUGACACUUUUCGGAGCGUAAACUCCUUUUAUAUAGGAAGAAGAUGACGGUACUAUAUGAAUAAGCGCCGGCUAACUCCGUGCCAGCAGCCGCGGUAAUACGGAGGGCGCAAGCGUUACUCGGAGUCACUGGGCGUAAAGAGCGUGUAGGCGGAUUAAAAAGUCAGAAGUGAAAUCCUAUAGCUUAACUAUAGAACUGCUUCUGAAACUCUUAAUCUAGAAUAUGGGAGAGGUAGAUGGAAUUUCUGGUGUAGGGGUAAAAUCCGUAGAGAUCAGAAGGAAUACCGAUUGCGAAGGCGAUCUACUAGAACAUUAUUGACGCUGAGACGCGAAAGCGUGGGGGGCAAACAGGAUUAGAUACCCGAGUAGUC
rnacentral:rRNA from 1 species